AUACGAUCUCCCUAGGUAACACAAUCUCUAUACGCAGUUUUGUGUUUUGCGAAUUUUUGCGCACCAAUCUUCGCACGACGACGAACAUCUUUUUGGAAAUCGGGGAUUUUUGUUUUCUUGUUCUUACGCUGCGCAUAUGAUGUCGCCCCCAUGAUUUCCCAACACAAGUCCCCUAGAAAGGGGCGCCGGGGAGGGUGAGAGCACCGUUUGGCUUGAACCCUGUCACACCACGAGGCACUAUCGACGAGUCGGGUUGUUUGGGAAUCCAGCCCCAAUCGGGUGGUAAUUUCUGUCUAAGGCUAAAUAUGGGCAAGACACCGAUAGCGAACAAGUACCGUGAGGGAAAGAUGAAAAGGACUUUGAAAAGAGAGUCAAAGAGUGCUUGAAAUUGCCGGGAGGGAAGCGGAUGGGGGCCGGCGAUGCACCUCGGUCGGAUGUGGAACGACGGUUAGCUGGUCCGCCACUGGGCUUGGGGUGCAGAUCGAUGCGGGCUGCUUCGACGGCCAAAGCCCGGACGAAUCAUUCAUUCGAGGGGAUACCGUCGAUGCGGUCGAGGACAUGAUGCGCACCAUCGACGUGCACCGCAGGGUACACGAGCAACCUAGGCAUCGACCAAUGGGCUCCCCAUCCGAACCGUCUUGAAACACGGACCAAGGAGUCUGACAUGCAUGCGAGUCGACGGGUGUGGAAACCCAGAAGGCACAAGGAAGCUAAUGGGCGGGAACCCUCUCGAGGGGUUGCACCAUCGACCAACCCCGAUCUUCUGUGAAGGGUUCGAGUUGGAGCAUGCAUGUUAGGACCUGAAAGAUGGUGAACUAUGCCUGAGCGAGGCGAAGCCAGAGGAAACUCUAGUGGAGGCCCGAAGCGAUACUGAUGUGCAAAUCGUACAUCUGACUUGGUUAUAGGGGCGAAAGACUAAUCGAACCAUCUAGUAGCUGGUUCCCUCCGAAGUUUCCCUCAGGAUAGCUGGAGCCCACGUGCGAGUUCUAUUGGGUAAAGCCAAUGAUUAGAGGCAUCGAGGGCGCAACACCCUCGACCUAUUCUCAAACUUUAAAUAGGUAGGACGGCAUGGUUGCUUCGUUGAGCCGUGUCGUGGAAUCGAGAGCUCGAAGUGGGCCAUUUUUGGUAAGCAGAACUAGCGAUGCGGGAUGAACCGGAAGCUGGGUUACGGUGCCCAACUAUGCACUAACCCAGACACCACAAAGGGUGUUGGUCGAUUAAGACAGUAGGACGGUGGUCAUGGAAGUCGAAAUCCGCUAAGGAGUGUGUAACAACUCACUAGCUGAAUCAACUAACCCCGAAAAUGGAUGGCGCUGAAGCGCACGACCCACACCCGGCCAUCGGGGUGAGCGCCAAGCCCCAAUGAGUAGGAGGGUGCGGUAGUCGCCGUAAAACCUAGGGUGCAUGCCCGGGCGGAGCAGCCCUCGGUGCAAAUCUUGGUGGUAGUAGCAAAUAUUCAAAUGAGAACUUUGAAGGCAGAAGAGGGGAAAGGUUCGAUGUGAAUGGCACUUGCACAUGGGUUAGUCGAUCCUAAGGGACGGGGGAAGCCCAUCCGAGAGCAUGUCUCCGCGUGAGCUCCGAAAGGGAAUCGGGUUAAAAUUCCUGAGUUGGGACGCGACGGCGGACGGCAACGUUAGGAAGUCCGGAGACGCCGGCAGGGGCCCUGGGAAGAGUUAUCUUUUCUACUUAAUGGCCUGCCCACCCUGGAAAUGGAUCAGCUGGAGGUAGGGUCCAGUGGUCGGAAGAGCGCCGCACGUUGUGCGGCAUCCAGUGCGCCCCCGAUGGCCCUUGAAAAUCUGGAGGACCAAGUGCCGCCCAUGCCCGGUUGUACUCAUAACUGCAUCAGGUCUCCAAGGUGAAUAGACUUUGGCCCAUGGAACAAUGUAGGCAAGGGAAGUUGGCAAAACGGAUCUGUAACUUCGGGAAAAGGAUUGGCUCUGAGGGUUGGGCACGGGGGUCCCGGCCUCGUACCCGUCGGUUGUCGGUGGACUACUCGAGCUGCAAUCAGCCAAGGGAACGGGCUUGGCAGAAUCAGCGGAGAAAGAAGACCCUGUUAAGCUUGACUCUAGUCUGACUUUCUGAAAUGACUUGAGCGGUGUAGGAUAAGUGGGAGUCGGUUCGCUGGCGAAAGUGAAAUACCACUACUUUUAACGUUAUUUUACUUAUUCCGUGAGUCGGAGGUGGGGCCUAGCCCCUCCUUUUGGACUCAAGGCCUCCUAGCGGGUCGAUCCGGGCAAAAGACAUUGUCAGGUGGGGAGUUUGGCUAGGGCGGCACAUCUAUUAAAAGAUAACGCAAGUGUCCUAAGAUGAGCUCAAUGAGAACAGAAAUCUCGUGUGGAACAAAAGGGUAAAAGCUCGUCUGAUUCUGAUUUCUAGUAUGAAUACGAACCGUGAAAGCAUGGCCUAUCGAUCCUUUAAACCUCUGGAAUUUGAAGCUAGAGGUGUCAGAAAAGUUACCACAGGGAUAACUGGCUUGUGGCAACCAAGCGUUCAUAGCGACGUUGCUUUUUGAUCCUUCGAUGUCGGCUCUUCCUAUCAUUGUGAAGCGGAAUUCACCAAGUGUUGGAUUGUUCACCCACCAAUAGGAAAUGUGAGCUGGGUUUAGACCGUCGUGAGACAAGUUAGUUUUACCUUACUGAUGAUCAUGCCGCGAUAGUAAUUCAACCUAGUAUGAGAGAAACCAUUGAUUCACACAAUUGGUCAUCGCGCUUGGCUGAAAAGCCAAUGGCGCAAAGCUACUGUGUGUUGGAUUAUGACUGAAUGCCUCUAAUUCAGAAUCCUAGUUAGCAUCCGGCGCUCUCACCCGUCGUUCGCCUCCCGACCCACAGUAGGGACCUUUGGCCUCCAUGGGCUCAUGUCGCUUGAGUAGCCCCCAUGGUGGUAUAGCCACGGGUGGCCAUCGGGAAGUGAAAUUCCG
rnacentral:rRNA from 1 species